rnacentral:rRNA from 1 species
UACGGAGGGUGCAAGCGUUAUCCGGAUUCACUGGGUUUAAAGGGUGCGUAGGUGGGCUUGUAAGUCAGUGGUGAAAUCUCCGGGCUUAACCCGGAAACUGCCAUUGAUACUAUAGGUCUUGAAUUAUCUGGAGGUCAGCGGAAUAUGUCAUGUAGCGGUGAAAUGCUUAGAUAUGACAUAGAACUCCAAUUGCGAAGGCAGCUGGCUACAGGUAUAUUGACACUGAGGCACGAAAGCGUGGGGAUCAAACAGG